CAGCCCCUCGAGUGGUGGGGAUGAUUAUUUGGCCUAAAGCGUCCGUAGCCGGCCGGGUAAGUCCCCCGUUAAAUCCAGCGUCUCAAGCGUUGGACUGCGGGAGAUACUACUUGGCUAGAGAGUGGGAGAGGUCAGCGGUAUUCUGGGGGUAGGGGCGAAAUCCUUUGAUCCCCGGAGGACCACCAGUGGCGAAGGCUGCUGACUAGAACACGUCUGACGGUCAGGGACGAAAGCUGGGGUAGCGAACCGGAUUAGAUACCCGAGUAGUCC
rnacentral:rRNA from 1 species